rnacentral:rRNA from 1 species
CCAAGGAGUCUAACAUGUGCGCGAGUCAUUGGGUCUUGUUCAGGCCCAGAGGCGCAAUGAAAGUGAAGGACGCCCCAGUCGGUGUCUGCGUUGGGAUCCCGGGGCCUCGGUCCCGGGCGCACCAACGGCCCGUCCCGUCCGCCACGUCGGUGGGACGGAGCGAGAGCGUACACGUUGGGACCCGAAAGAUGGUGAACUAUGCCUGGGCAGGACGAGGCCAGAGGAAACUCUGGUGGAGGUCCGCAGCGAUUCUGACGUGCAAAUCGAUCGUCAGACCUUGGUAUAGGGGCGAAAGACUAAUCGAACCGUCUAGUAGCUGGUUCCCUCCGAAGUUUCCCUCAGGAUAGCUGGUGCUCGAUCGGAAUCAGUCUCAUCCGGUAAAGCGAAUGAUUAGAGGCCUUGGGGCCGAAACGACCUCAACCUAUUCUCAAACUUUCAAUGGGUGAGAAGUCCGGUUUACCCGACUGAAGCCCGGACGAUUCUCAGGAUGUGAGUGCCCAGUGGGCCACUUUU